GACUCUUUGAGUCUUUGCCAAAAAGGCAGUACCUGCAGAUAUACUAAUAUUCUAAUGAUGAUGAAAAAUAAAGUAAAUAAUAAUAAUUCUAGUAAUCCUAAGAUCCCAACAGUCCUCCUCCGUCGAACGGCAAACUGAGUGUGUGGGGAAAAAGAUUGGGAAAAACAAAGGUUUUAUCCCUCCUCCUGAGCUUCUACCGGAAAUACCAGUCUAUGUCUCACAUGAGGAUGUAAAUUUCGUCCUUGAAGCUCUGAUCAGCUAUGAAGAAGAGAAAGGGGAUGAUAUUGAGGUUCGCUAGGAGGACUAAUAAAUGAAGAAUGUUGGAGAAACAGAUACCAAAAAGACAAGCUGGAAGUGGAUCCUGUAUAUUCUCCCUUCCUAUUAAAUCCUUGGAUGGAAAAUUACUAUACAAAACUGCUUCAAAGUAAGCUAAGAGACCUGCAAAUGCAGCAAAUGAUGAUGAUGGAGCGAAUGUAAGUGUUGUGAAGCUUACAAAGCCAGAAAGGAGAGCAAAAUGAAGAAGACUAGGAAAGAGGCGAAGAAGCAGCAGAAAGGAGAUAGUUAGUGCAGAUGAGGUGGAAUUGGAAGCAGAUCCUCAACCUCAACCUCAAGCAUUGGUAUUUUCUUUUUAUUACAGGCUUAGGUGAAAGAAGAAGGUUCAGCUGAAGAAUUUCUUUUGAGUAAGAAGAGUAAACUAGCAGAGUUGGGGAUUGGCGCUGUUCACUGAUCCGUAGUCAAAUUAUUAAAUUCUUAAAAGAGAUAGGGUAGCUUUCCAAGGAUGAAAAUCAAGCAACUAGCUUGGGGUCCUCUCCUUAUUGGCUAUUUUCAUAGAUAUCAUUCCUGGUUAUCAGAUCAGACUUCCUCGCCGACAAGGAGCUGUCGAGCAGGAGAUGAAUGUUUCGAAGGAAGUAAAGAAAAACGUGAUUCUUUGAAUCCACACUGUUGACCUCUUAUAAGGUUUACCUUCAAGAGUCUAAUAAGCCUUACCGAAGCAAUCAUCCUUCCAACAUGUUGCUGUGCAUUGCAUGUGUUUUUUGCUGGAUGUUGUUCCUCAUUUCAAUUUCUGUGAGAAUUUGUAGCUGCUGUCAUCAAUAACAUGAGCUCCCCAGAUGAUGUCAUAAGGUUGUGUUAAAUACGAGCCUUAUGCUUUACUCUUUUAGGCUUUGCUUGAGAUUUUAUGUUUCUUUAGUUACUGUUGCUUAGUAGUCCUGUACAGUUUAAGAGGUACUCAUCCUGAGUAGGGUUUAUCUUUAUGAAGAUGCUUCGGUUGGUUACAGGAAACUUUGCUGCACAGCUAUAAAGUCACAAUUUCUUAAAGAAAGCAAACAUGGUGGCGUAGCAACUGUGGAGGCUGUUCAUUUGAUUGAAAAUCAUGUAAAAUUAUGCGAUCGUCGGCUGCAUCCUGAUACCAUUGAGGUUGCGAAGUGUGAUGGGUUUGCAUAUUUGGAGAAGAGGUGUCCCUCACUAUUGAUUUAUUGAAGACUAGUGAGGUGGUCAAGGAAAAAUGAAGCCUAAUACUUUGCUGGAAAGGAAUCUCAAAAACAACAACAGCAACACCUGCUGCAACACCAACACCGGCCUCAGGGGGAUAAUUUCUGCGUGUUCUGACUUUGUGAUUAAUGAGUUGUGGCCUGUGAGAGUAACCACAUCAAGCAGGUCAGCUUUUGGUAAAUAGUAAAUUUUUCUGGUAAAUAUAACAAGGGUUAAAAGUGGAUGUGUUUGAUUUUUAACGUGUAAAUUUCUUUGGUAAAUAGUAAGUUUCUCCUGUUCUGAGUCUUCGAACUUUAAUACUUGACAAAAUCAUUAUAAUGUUCCUAACACGUUGAUAA